rnacentral:rRNA from 1 species
CAGGUAGUUGGUGAGGUAACGGCUCACCAAGCCGCUGACCGAUAGCUGAUCUGAGAGGAUGACCAGCCACACUGGGACUGUGACACGGCCCAGACUCCUACGGGAGGCAGCAGCGAGGAAUAUUGCACAAUGGAGGCAACUCCGAUGCAGUAACGCCGCGUGGGGGAAGAAGACCUUCGGGUUGUAAACCUCUUUUUUUUAGGACGAGUGAGGACGGUACUAGGAGAAUAAGUCUCGGCUAACUACGUGCCAGCAGCCGCGGUAAGACGUAGGAGGCGAGCGUUAUCCGGAUUCACUGGGCGUAAAGCGCAUGUAGGCGGCUCGUUAAGUCGUGUGUUAAAGCCCCUGGCUCAACUGGGGGAGGUCAUGCGAGACUAACGGACUUGAGGGCAGCAGAGGCACGUGGAACUCCCGGUGUAGCGGUGGAAUGCGUAGAGAUCGGGAAGAACACCCGUGGCGAAGGCGACGUGCUGGGCUGCGACUGACGCUGAGAUGCGAAAGUGUGGGGAGCAAACGGGGUUAGAUACCCCGGUAGUCCACACUGUAAACGAUGAACCCUAGGUGUGGGGGGGAAUACCCUCCGUGCCGAAGCCCACGCGUUAAGG